AGUCGAACGGCAGCACAGCAGUAGCAAUACUGUGGGUGGCGAGUGGCGGACGGGUGAGUAAUGCAUCGGGACCUACCUAGACGUGGGGGAUAACGUAGGGAAACUUACGCUAAUACCGCAUACGUCCUACGGGAGAAAGCAGGGGACCUUCGGGCCUUGCGCGGUUAGACGGACCGAUGUUCGAUUAGCUAGUUGGUAGGGUAAUGGCCUACCAAGGCGACGAUCGAUAGCUGGUCUGAGAGGAUGAUCAGCCACACUGGAACUGAGACACGGUCCAGACUCCUACGGGAGGCAGCAGUGGGGAAUAUUGGACAAUGGGCGCAAGCCUGAUCCAGCAAUGCCGCGUGUGUGAAGAAGGCCUUCGGGUUGUAAAGCACUUUUAUCAGGAGCGAAACGCUGUCGGCUAAUACCCGGCGGAACUGACGGUACCUGAGGAAUAAGCACCGGCUAACUUCGUGCCAGCAGCCGCGGUAAUACGAAGGGUGCAAGCGUUAAUCGGAAUUACUGGGCGUAAAGCGUGCGUAGGCGGUUUGUUAAGUCUGUUGUGAAAUCCCCGGGCUCAACCUGGGAAUGGCAAUGGAUACUGGCAAGCUAGAGUGUGAUAGAGGAUGGUGGAAUUCCCGGUGUAGCGGUGAAAUGCGUAGAGAUCGGGAGGAACAUCAGUGGCGAAGGCGGCCAUCUGGAUCAACACUGACGCUGAGGCACGAAAGCGUG
rnacentral:rRNA from 1 species